UAGUUGGUUAAAGUCCAACCAUGGGAAUUUGGUAGUUCGUCCAUGUAGCUUGAGGGAGGUGUUAGGGGUAACCCGAAACACUUAGUUCCCUGACAAAGGCUCAAUAAGUGAGUCGAGCAAUCUUGCUGGUUGCAGCGAAA
rfam:Candidatus Scalindua sp. BSI-1 SCARTB_contig000273, whole genome shotgun sequence.